AAUCAACGCUGGCGGCGCGCUUAACACAUGCAAGUCGCACGAGAAAGGGGCAACCUGAGUAAAGUGGCGUACGGGUGAGUAACACGUGGAUAUCCACCCCUUUGUGAGGAAUAACUUUGGGAAACCGAAGCUAAUACCGCAUAAGCCCGGGAGGGGAAAGCAAGCAAUUGCGCAGAGGGAGGAGUCCGCGGUCGAUUAGCUAGUUGGCGGGGUAAUGGCCCACCAAGGCGACGAUCGANAGCCGGCCUGAGAGGGCACACGGCCACACUGGCACUGAAACACGGGCCAGACUCCUACGGGAGGCAGCAGUGGGGAAUCUUGCACAAUGGGCGAAAGCCUGAUGCAGCGACGCCGCGUGAGUGAUGAAGUCCUGG
rnacentral:rRNA from 1 species